AGGUAGAUGCACCUCCUAAUUGUGUCUCUUACACGAAUUAGAAUAAGCAAGGACCUCUCUCACAUGUAUUUUGCCACCUUGUGUUUCUUUGUUACUUAACAAUGUGGCUGUAGUACUUAGCUUGUAGGCAGAGAUGAUGAGCUUGAUGGAAACAUGAACCAAAAGGAGAGCUGUGUGUUGCUUGACAUUCCUGAUUUUGUGCCCUAAUCAAUAUGUUCUUGAUCUUGAUAGAUUUGUUUAGUGAAUGACCCUAGGCCCCAGCACAAGUACAACAAACUUUACACAGUGGAAUACUUAAGCAAUAUGGUUGGAGGGAGAAAAACUCUAUACAACAACCAGCCCAUUGACUUCCUGAAAAAGAUGGUUGCUGCCUCCAUCAAAGAUGGAGAGGCUGUGUGGUUUGGCUGUGAUGUUGGAAAACACUUCAAUGGCAAGCUGGGCCUCAGUGACAUGAAUCUGUGAGUGCAGGAAAUUUAAAAUAGAAAGUCAUUUGUGGGUUGUUGCUGUUGCAGUUUGCUGUUGGUACAAAAUGACUCUGCCAAGGUUCAUCCAAAGAUGAAGGUUGACCUAAGGGCGCAUCUCUUUCUUUGCAUCCUGUAGAGUUUGAGGACUCAUAGCAGAAACUCCACAUACUUAAAUACUCUAACCCAGGACAUCAAGAUCACACUUUCUAUCUGAGUGGAAAUCAUUGGGUGCUCCUAAAAAGCCAUCCUCUAUGAGAAAGACACUUUAAAAAAAUAAUUGACUACUGUGUAAAUGUG
rnacentral:sRNA from 1 species